rnacentral:rRNA from 1 species
UACUAGAGUAGCACUCGCAUAUCAAUAAGCGGAGGAAAAGAAACUAACAAGGAUUCCCCUAGUAACGGCGAGUGAAGCGGGAAGAGCUCAAAUUUGAAAUCUUAAAGGGUUUCCCUUUACGAAUUGUAGUUUAAAGAAGUGCUUUCUGUUGAGGUUUUGGUAAAAGUUCUUUGGAAUAGGACAUCAUAGAGGGUGAGAAUCCCGUAUUUGACCUUUACUUUCAACUUUGUGAUACACUUUCAAAGAGUCGGAUUGUUUGGGAAUGCAGUCCAAAAUGGGUGGUAAAUUUCAUCUAAAGCUAAAUAUUGGCGAGAGACCGAUAGCGAACAAGUACCGUGAGGGAAAGAUGAAAAGAACUUUGAAAAGAGAGUUAAACAGUACGUGAAAUUGUCAAAAGGGAAGCGUUUGACACCAGUGUUGUUUUUCUGAAAAUCAAUUAAAGAACUGUUUAUGCUAAGUUGUUUAGACUUUAUCAGCUAUCUGCUUAGUUUUGAGCUUUUCUUUAAUGCACUUUUCAGUUAACAAGUCAACAUCAAUUUCUUUUGCUGUAAAAAAGCUUGAGGAAGGUGGCUUGAGAUUCGUCUUAAGUGUUUAUAGCCUCUUGCCUAUGCAGUCGGAGAGAUUGAGGUCUGCAGCGUAGAUCCUUCGGGGCUAAAUGCAUUUGUGCUAAGUUAUAGCAUUUUAUAGACAACUUGUUGACUAUGAUUUGUCUUGUAGCUUACUCGCUUAUGUUAUUUUACCUACGCUUAGGAUGUUGAACUACUGAGACAUAG